GACGAACGCUGGCGGCGUGCUUAACACAUGCAAGUCGAACGGAAAGGCCCUGCUUUUGUGGGGUGCUCGAGUGGCGAACGGGUGAGUAACACGUGAGUAACCUGCCCUUGACUGUGGGAUAACUUCAGGCAACUGGGGCUAAUACCGGAUAGGAGCUCCUGCUGCAUGGUGGGGGUUGGAAAGUUUCGGCGGUUGGGGGUGGACUCGGGGCUUAUCAGCUUGUUGGUGGGGUAGUGGCUUACCAAGGCUUUGACGGGUGGCCGGCCUGGGAGGGUGACCGGACACAUUGGGCCUGAGAUACGGCCCAGACUGGUACGGUAGGCAGCGGUGGGGAGUAUGACACAAUGGGCGGGAGCCUGAUGCGACAACGCCGCGUGCGGGAAGACGGCCUUGGGGUGGUGAACCGCAGUCGCCUGAGACGAAGCGUGAGUGACGGUAAUGGGUAAAGAAGCACCGGCUAACUACGUG
rnacentral:rRNA from 1 species